rnacentral:rRNA from 1 species
UGGGGAGUAUUGCACAAUGGGCGCAAGCCUGAUGCAGCCAUGCCGCGUGUGUGAAGAAGGCCUUCGGGUUGUAAAGCACUUUCAGCGAGGAGGAAGGGUAGUGUGUUAAUAGCACAUUGCAUUGACGUUACUCGCAGAAGAAGCACCGGCUAACUCCGUGCCAGCAGCCGCGGUAAUACGGAGGGUGCAAGCGUUAAUCGGAAUUACUGGGCGUAAAGCGCACGCAGGCGGUUUGUUAAGUCAGAUGUGAAAUCCCCGCGCUUAACGUGGGAACUGCAUUUGAAACUGGCAAGCUAGAGUCUUGUAGAGGGGGGUAGAAUUCCAGGUGUAGCGGUGAAAUGCGUAGAGAUCUGGAGGAAUACCGGUGGCGAAGGCGGCCCCCUGGACAAAGACUGACGCUCAGGUGCGAAAGCGUGGGGAGCAAACA